CCUACGGGAGGCAGCAGUAGGGAAUCUUCCGCAAUGGACGAAAGUCUGACGGAGCAACGCCGCGUGAACGAUGAAGGCCUUCGGGUCGUAAAGUUCUGUUGUUAGGGAAGAACAAGUGCUAGUUAAAUAAGCUGGCACCUUGACGGUACCUAACCAGAAAGCCACGGCUAACUACGUGCCAGCAGCCGCGGUAAUACGUAGGUGGCAAGCGUUGUCCGGAAUUAUUGGGCGUAAAGCGCGCGCAGGCGGUUUCUUAAGUCUGAUGUGAAAGCCCCCGGCUCAACCGGGGAGGGUCAUUGGAAACUGGGAAACUUGAGUGCAGAAGAGGAAAGUGGAAUUCCAAGUGUAGCGGUGAAAUGCGUAGAGAUUUGGAGGAACACCAGUGGUGAAGGCGACUUUCUGGUCUGUAACUGACGCUGAGGCGCGAAAGCGUGGGGAGCAAACAGGAUUAGAUACCCUGGUAGUCCACGCUGUAAACGAUGAGUGCUAAGUGUUAGAGGGUUUUCCGCCCUUUAGUGCUGAAGUUAACGCAUUAAGCACUCCGCCUGGGGANACGGUCGCAAGACUGAAACCUUAANGAAUUGACGG
rnacentral:rRNA from 1 species